rnacentral:rRNA from 1 species
UGAAACCUGAUAUGACUUAGUGGCGGACGGGUGAGUAACACGUGAGCAACCUGCCUUUCAGAGGGGGAUAACGGCUGGAAACGGUCGCUAAUACCGCAUGACGUGUUCGGAUGGCAUCAUCUGAACAUCAAAGAUUUAUCGCUGAAAGAUGGGCUCGCGUCUGAUUAGUUAGUUGGUGGGGUAACGGCCUACCAAGACUGCGAUCAGUAGCCGGACUGAGAGGUUGAACGGCCACAUUGGGACUGAGAUACGGCCCAGACUCC